UUAUUAUCAUCAAAUGAACUAAAGAUCCCCUUCAAGAACUCAACAGCUUCACUAGUCAAUUCCAUGCUCUGCAAGAAGGCAAGAACACAAUCAGAAAGAACUGAACAAAUGUGAAAAAUACAUC